rnacentral:rRNA from 1 species
UACGUAGGGGGCUAGCGUUGUCCGGAAUCAUUGGGCGUAAAGAGCGUGUAGGCGGCCCGGUCAGUCCGCCGUGAAAGUCCAGGGCUCAACCCUGGAAUGCCGGUGGAUACUGCCGGGCUGGAGUCCGGAAGAGGCGAGUGGAAUUCCUGGUGUAGCGGUGAAAUGCGCAGAUAUCAGGAGGAACACCGAUGGCGAAGGCAGCUCGCUGGGACGGUACUGACGCUGAGACGCGAAAGCGUGGGGAGCAAACAGG